ACUGCUCAGUAACACGUAGUCAACAUGCCCAGGGGACGUGGAUAACCUCGGGAAACUGAGGAUAAACCGCGAUAGGUCAUAGUAUCUGGAAUGAUUUAUGGCUUAAAUCUAUAUGGCCUCUGGAUUGGACUGCGGCCGAUCAGGCUGUUGGUGAGGUAAUGGCCCACCAAACCUAAAACCGGUACGGGCUCUGAGAGGAGAAGCCCGGAGAUGGGCACUGAGACAAGGGCCCAGGCCCUAUGGGGCGCAGCAGGCGCGAAAACUCUGCAAUAAGCGAAAGCUUGACAGGGUUAUUCUGAGUGAUUUCCGCUAAGGAAAUCUUUUGGCACCUCUAAAAAUGGUGCAGAAUAAGGGGUGGGCAAGCCUGGUGUCAGCCGCCGCGGUAAUACCAGCACCCCGAGUGGUCGGGACGAUUAUUGGGCCUAAAGCAUCCGUAGCCGGUUCUACAAGUCUUCCGUUAAAUCCACCUGCUCAACAGAUGGGCUGCGGAGGAUACUAUAGAGCUAGGAGGCGGGAGAGGCAAGCGGUACUUAGUGGGUAGGGGUAAAAUCCGUUGAUCCAUUGAAGACCACCAGUGGCGAAGGCGGCUUGCCAGAACGCACUCGACGGUGAGGGAUGAAAGCUGGGGGAGCAAACCGGAUUAGAUACCCGGGUAGUCCCAGCUGUAAACGAUGCAGACUCGGUGAUGAAUAGGCUUCGUGCCUAUUCAGUGCCGCAGGGAAGCCGUUAAGUCUGCCGCCUGGGGAGUACGGUCGCAAGACUGAAACUUAAAGGAAUUGGCGGGGGAGCA
rnacentral:rRNA from 1 species